UUAAGCUUUAACCCUACCCUACCCCUAUAAUUCUUCAGGCCCAUUUGUUAACCCUCUCCUCUCAACAUGAAUGGAACCUCCCGCCCUUUCAUUCCACUACGUUGGAGAUGUUGACUCCGACAACGUUGACGUCGGCAACGUUGAUGCCAAUUUUAACCCUUCGACGAGUCUGAUAAAUUUAUCCCCAUCUUUUCCAGUUGAAGCGAGGCAAUCGCUUUAUGGAGACAUCGAUGAAAUGGAAGCCGACGACUUUGACCAUGGCAACUUUGAUGCUCGCGACAACAUGGAUAAGAUUUUUCCAGCUUACUCUUCUUCAAGUUGAAGCGUUCAUUUUUCUAGCUUAACAUUCUCUCUGAUUUUAUUUUUAAUUUUUUUAUAAACAUUAUCAUGUCCACUAAAAAUUGGUGAUAGAUCUAUUCACAUUUACAUCAAGGGAUGAACUUUGUUAUAGUUUAAAUGUGUUUAUGAUAACACGUCAUUAAGUGCAAAACAAGAGUGUACAUAUUUUGAGCUUGAAGGAUAUUCACAUCUGAACAGAAUCCUGAAGCUUAUGAUAACAUGCAAUUAAGCUUUUAAUUUUGAGCCUGGAGGAUUUUCACAUCUAGUUUUUAAAUGUUACUUGUCACCAUGUUGACUACGUGGAUUUUUGUAGCAAAAUUGCUAUUUUAUUCUAGGCUGCAUAUGUACCUAUUGGCUCAAUGGUUUAGCUUCUUAUCUUUUUAAUUUUAUCCCUAGGCUUGGAAUUAGGAUCAAGGAUUUGCAUUUACCACCUAUUACAUGAAACAAUAUAGUGAUAUUAUUUUAGAUUGAUUUACAUAAUGGUUUUGUGCAAACAGUUUGAAUUGAUUGUUGUCAUUUUUUGUGAAUGUAGGAUAUUUUGAAAUUCUUUCCUUCGAAGAUGACAAUCCGAAUAAUAAGAGCUCAUGGGAAGAAAUGGACAUUAUUGUGCCUAGUGUUGGAAUGAAAUUUAAGAAUAUGAAAGAGGUGUUUGAGUUUUACAAAAACUACGCUUAUCAAAUCAGUUUUUCCAUAAGGAAAAGAAAUUCCAAGAAGGGUGAUGAUGGGAUUAUGCGUUAUGUAACAUUUAUAUGCAGUGGCGAAGGUCGUCGAACUAGUGGGACAAAUGCAGUUUUGAAGCCUCAACCAACCAUCCAAAUUGGAUGUAAAGCAAGAUUAACAACAUGUUCUGACCUUAAUAGAAUUUUUUGUAUUAAGAUUGUUCAUCUAGAGCAUAUUGCAGAAUAAGCCCAUCAAAAUCACGGCUAUAUUGAUUUAAUCGCCAAAUCAGUGCACGAGUUAAAAGACAGCUUGAAAUAAAUGACAUCGUUAGAAUACCAUUGCAUAAGAGUUUUAACUCAGCUGUUGUUGAAGCCGGUGGUUAUGAAAAGAUUGAAUGCGUGGAGAAGGAUUGUAGAAAUUUCAUUGACAAAGUACGUCGAUUAGGACUUGGGCAAAGAGACCCUGUUGCAAUACAAGCAUAUUUUUGAGGAUGCAAGCAAAUAGUCAUGGCUUCUAUUUCAAUAUAGACUUCUAUGAGGAUGCCCGCCUGAGGAACGUUUUCUGGGCAAAUAACAGGUGCAGGCAAGCAUGUAAGGAAUUACGUGAUGUAGUAAUGGUUGACACCACGUACUUGACUAACAAGUGCGAAAUGCCUUUUGCUUCCUUUGUUGGGAUAAACCACCAUGAACAAUCAACUUGACUUGGAUGUGGUUGGUCUCAAAUGAGGAUACAAGUACUUUUGUAUGGUUAUUUAGAACCUGGCUUGAGUGUAUGCAUGAUCGAGCUCCAACUAAAAUUCUUACAGAUUAGGAUCGAGCUAUGCAGAAUUCAACUGACAUCGUGUUUCCAAACACAAAACAUAGGUGGCGCUUGUGGCAUAUCUUGAAAAAGUUACCAGAAAAAUUCGGUGGCCAUAGACAAAAAGCUUCUAUUCUUUCUACUGUGCAUCGCUUAUUGUAUGACGUGCAAAGUUGUGAAGAAUUUGAUUAAGGUUGGACCAGUACUCCUGACCAAGUUAGAUAUUAGCAUAUGUGCAUCGUAUUUACCAAGUUAGCUAAUAUGGUAGCAGAUGACAAAUUACGGUCGAAGGAAAUUAUUGAGUGGAUUGAUUAUUAAACUGUAGAGUCAUCCAAGUUGAAUUCCAGGACGGAGGUGUCUGUAAGCUUCGAUGGAGCAGCCCAGCAUGCUAGUGGAAUCAUCCUCGACCCGAAAAUCUUAAAAAACAAAGCAGCUCCAAAAAAACUUCGUCAAAAGAGACAUUUUGAAAUUAGUUCUAAGAAGUCAAAAAAUUGUCAGAAGGGGCUAACAAAGUAUUGGCAGGAUCUGUAUGUUAAAGCUAUUGUGAUGAAAUUAGACCCAUUUGUUGUAACCUUUAUUUUAGUACUCUAGUCAAGUUAGAAUUUGAAGUAA